GCGGGUGUGGCGGAAUUGGCAGACGCACUAGACUUAGGAUCUAGCGCCUUUACGGCGUGGGGGUUCGAUCCCUUCACCCGCA
rnacentral:tRNA from 1 species